rnacentral:rRNA from 1 species
AAGAGACAGCAGUCGCCGCGGGAAUACAGAGGGUGCGAGCGUUAAUCGGAUUUACUGGGCGUAAAGCGUGCGUAGGCGGCUUCUUAAGUCGGAUGUGAAAUCCCUGAGCUUAACUUAGGAAUUGCAUUCGAUACUGGGAAGCUAGAGUAUGGGAGAGGAUGGUAGAAUUCCAGGUGUAGCGGUGAAAUGCGUAGAGAUCUGGAGGAAUACCGAUGGCGAAGGCAGCCAUCUGGCCUAAUACUGACGCUGAGGUACGAAAGCAUGGGGAGCAAACAGGAUUAGAUACCCCAGUAGUCCCUGUCUCUUAUAC